rnacentral:rRNA from 1 species
UUUAAAGAAAGCGUAACAGCUCACUGGUCAAGCGUUCCUGCGCGGAAAAUGUAACGGGGCUUAAGUGAUACACCGAAGCUGCGGACUCAGAAAUGAGUGGUAGCGGAGCGUUCUGUAAGUCUGUGAAGGUGGCCUGCGAGGGCUGCUGGAGAUAUCAGAAGUGAGAAUGCUGACAUGAGUAGCGAUAAAGAGGGUGAGAGGCCCUCUCGCCGAAAGUCCAAGGGUUCCUGCGCAAUGCUAAUCAGCGCAGGGUAAGCCGGCCCCUAAGGCGAGGCCGACAGGCGUAGUCGAUGGAUAACGGGUU